GUGUUACAACUGUACAUAUACACACUCAGUCAUAUUUAUAUCCUAUAGGUCAUAUAAUUGCUCACUUCGCGCAUUGCCGGAACAUAUUACUAAGUGAUUUGCAUAGCGUCCAGACGCUGACUGACCUACUUGACCGGCGUGACGUGUCCGUCCCUGACCAGUGCUGGGCAUUACCCAACUCGGGGGCUGCAAGCUGCAGGGUGUGUUAACUUUGUUACCGACUUCAUCAGGCUUGCCAAUCAACAAGUCAUAAGAAAUGGCUCGGGCUUUCCAAAGUGACAUCAUGGCGGAACUAUUUGCUAUCACCGAACAUCUGCAACACCUUCUCGGGAGACAGGAGAUUUUGCGGGCGGAUCUACUGUAUGGUGACAGGGGUGCUAGGGUGAGUUCAUUCAUUGGAGGUGGAAGAGCAAGCCCAGGCGAUGUUCAGACAUUAGUGAAUCACAUUUGCACUGUGCUUGUCCGUCUGACCGGAACGUACCGACUCAACUCCAGUCUUGUCGGAUCACGUGGCAAUCUCACACCAGAUACCCGUUCCCACCUCAACCGCCGCACGCCAGUCCAGGAGACUUUGGAAGGGUCACGUGGUACAAUGAGCCUAGCCGUUUGCUGAUUGGCUCGAUGGAUAUCGAUGACGUCAUACAAAUAUGAAAUUGUACAGAACCAUGACUAAAUAGACAGUUGAUACAAAUGUUGGUCAAGGCAGGUGGACAUAGGGCUGAUUGUGCUCAACCCUCGCCCACCCACAUUAUGUUUGGCUUAUGCGUUUUGGUUAAAGAGACCCACAAAAGUAUUACCCAAACAAGAACGGCAAGUAUCAUAUGUGCCUUAAAGAGAAAUAUGUCCAUGAAAGGGCAAUACACACAGUAUAUUUUUAUGUCCCAAUCUGUAUGGUUGGAUCAUGCAUUUUUCUACUUUUAAAUAAACUGCUCAUUAUUUUGGAGA